rnacentral:rRNA from 1 species
AUUGGUGACUGCCUCUGGGUGAUAGCGGUCGACGGGUGAGUAAUGUCUGCGAAACUGCCUGAUGGAGGGGGAUUACUACUGGAAACGGUACCUAAUACCGCAUAACGUCCCAAGACCAAAGAGGGGGACCUUCGGGCCUCUUGCCAUCAGAUGUGCCCAGAUGGGAUUAGCUAGUACGUANGGUACUGGCUCACCUAUGCGACGAUCCCUCACUGGUCUGAGAGGAUGACCAGCCACACUGGUAACUGAGUACACGGUCCACACUCCUACGGGAUGCACCAGUGGGGANNUAUUGCCCAAUNGGCCGCAAACCUGAUGCACCC